AUUUAUAUAGUUUAAUAAAACAUUACACUUUCACUGUAAAAAUAAAAAUUUUUUUUUAUAAAUU
rnacentral:tRNA from 1 species